GCAUGAGACGUCCCACGGAAUUCCCGGAAUUUCCCAGCCUGGAAAACUCCCCCGGAUCCCUGGAAAAUUCCGGAGGGGACCCCAAAUCCUCCUGGAAUCCAGAGGAGGCCGGGCCGGGGCUGAGGCUGCGCCUGCCCAGGGACCCCCCCGGGGAUCGGCCCAAGCAGAAGCCGGUGGGAAGAGCCUUUGCCAUGGUGGCCAAAAGAUCCGACGGGA